rnacentral:rRNA from 1 species
AUUGAACGCUGGCGGCAUGCUUUACACAUGCCAGUCGAACGGCAGCGCGGGCUUCGGCCUGGCGGCGAGUGGCGAACGGGUGAGUAAUACAUCGGAACGUGCCCAGUAGUGGGGGAUAGCUCGGCGAAAGCCGGAUUAAUACCGCAUACGACCUGAGGGUGAAAGCGGGGGUUCUUCGGACCUCGCGCUAUUGGAGCGGCCGAUGGCAGAUUAGCUAGUUGGUGGGGUAAAGGCCUACCAAGGCGACGAUCUGUAGCUGGUCUGAGAGGACGACCAGCCACACUGGGACUGAGACACGGCCCAGACUCCUACGGGAGGCAGCAGUGGGGAAUUUUGGACAAUGGGCGAAAGCCUGAUCCAGCAAUGCCGCGUGUGUGAUGAAGGCCUUCGGGUUGUAAAGCACUUUUGGCGGGAACGAAAAGGACUGUGCCAAUACCACGGUUCGAUGACGGUACCCGCAGAAUAAGCACCGGCUAACUACGUG